AGGGCAGCGUAGCAGCUAACGGCUGUCCACUGAAAGCGUUGAGCGCAAGCAAGACGUAUAAGGUGAGGAUUAGAGCAACAGAGACGAGUCGAUGGGACAAAUCCUUUGGGUGUUCUAUGCGUGUAGGCUGGCGAAAGCCAGUCCCCGGGCAACCGGGUGCGCAUAGCCACCCGAUGGGCGAAGCCACAUCGGGUGAAACGGGCAAUCUCUACGCGCAGCAAUACCAAGUAGGCACACGUUGACGGGGCCCCCGGAGUGUGCGGGUAGGUAGCACCGAGCUGUUGGGUGACCAACAGCCCAGAUUAAUGACAGUCACAUAAAGAUCGGUCGCAAGACCGGCCUUUGUGCACAGAAUCCGGCUUAUCGGUGGGCUUCACAC
rnacentral:RNase_P_RNA from 1 species